UACGGGGGGAGCAAGCGUUGUUCGGAUUUACUGGGCGUAAAGGGCGCGUAGGCGGCCUCCGCAAGUCAAUUGUGAAAUCUCCGGGCUUAACUCGGAAAGGUCAACUGAUACUGCGGGGCUAGAGUGCGGAAGGGGCAACUGGAAUUCUCGGUGUAGCGGUGAAAUGCGUAGAUAUCGAGAGGAACACCUGCGGCGAAGGCGGGUAGCUGGGCCGACACUGACGCUGAUGCGCGAAAGCCAGGGGAGCGAACGGG
rnacentral:rRNA from 1 species